AAAUGACAAAAGAAAUAAGGGAAAAAAAAAUUUCUACCAAAGUUCGAACUCUACCUCUACAUUAAAUAACUUGUUAGAAGUGAAUGUCAUAUAAGCUAUGAGUAACACAUAGAUUAUACAACAUAUGGAUAAUAAUUGCAUAGUUUAAUAAAUAUGAAAAUAAAAAGUUCUCUUUGGGACAAUGAUUAUGUCAUAAUCCUCUCAUUCCCUUAAAUUACAUAAGUGAUUAGGUCAAUUUGAUAU
rnacentral:lncRNA from 1 species